UACGGAGGGUGCGAGCGUUGUCCGGAAUCACUGGGCGUAAAGGGCGCGUAGGUGGCUUGGCAAGCGUGUGGUGAAAGCCCGGGGCUCAACCCCGGGUCUGCCGUGCGAACUGCUAUGGCUUGAGCACUGUAGAGGCAGGUAGAAUUCCGGGUGUAGCGGUGGAAUGCGUAGAGAUCCGGAAGAAUACCGGUGGCGGAAGGCGGCCUGCUGGGCAGUGGCUGACACUGAGGCGCGACAGCGUGGGGAGCAAACAGGG
rnacentral:rRNA from 1 species